AUAUAAAACUAGUUAUUUCCAUUCUAAUCGAUCUGACAUAUUUCUUGAGAAACGUCAAUGAGACUGUCAAUAACGAUAACGAUCUUUGAACGAUAGCUUCGACAAUUUUAGAGCUCUACGCCUACUUUUCACGUUUCCAGCGUUAAGGAAUUGUGAUUAGCAUACAAAGAAUGCAAAGGUGAACGAAGUAACCUUCGGCAAAUUAAAAUUCAAAUUGGUUGACCCAACGCGAGGCAACGUUACAAAAUUCAGUAAAUAAUUCAACGAAUAUCUCGACCUUUUCGUGGUACUAUUAUAACAUUUGAUCUUCUAUUUCCCACGUCCAUCAUCGACCGCGACAAAAUGCCCUAAUUUACAUCAUAAUUACAUGAUCGACAGAGGAAACUGGUCAUUAACCUUGUUCGAUUUACGAUAUACAAAGCGGGCUUAAAUUCAUCAUUUCCGAAACGGAUUCGUUUCCAACGUGCUGCCAUUGUUCAGUGAAUAAAUAGAGUCCUUGGAUACAAUCGAAAAUCUGUUUUUCUGUAUACGUAUUUCAAUCCCUAAACACAUAAAAGUCUUCAAACGAUAGCAGAUUUUUAGGAAAAAUGAAAUAAUUAUAUGGUGUCAGCUUGAAAAUGUUUUUUAUUAUUGCAUAUCUAAUUUGCUUUCGAUAUUUUAUGUAGUUUUACGUAUUUAUAUUUCUUGUACAAUCAAUUUCCUUAUCAGAGAUGUGACACGUGUCAGAAAGUGACAUCAGCAUCGAUUCAUCGCAGAACGUCUUCGUUCGGACGUGAUUUUUAUGCCCCUCGCCGCGGAACUGAUUCAUUUUCUGUUCGCUAACUAAGUAGCUUCGGUUCCUUCGCAUCGCUUGAUACUUUGAAACCGAGGGAAACCCGAAUGAAAUUUCGCGGUGGAAGGUUCGUCCGAUGACCACGGUCUCCCUUUGUGGUUGCUCGAGGACGCGUUGAAAUAGAGCUGGCAGACAAAGAACGGAAGUCUCGCAGCCGUGACGAACGAGUCCGUAAAUUCUAGCCGCCUAAAAACUGGGCCCUCAAUACCCGAGACGGAAACUUUUCUUCAACUUCCUCGACGCGGUUUAUUUUCCGCGGGGGUAACGAAACGCGCGAGCCUCUUCAACGAGAAGUGGUUCUGAUUUUAUAUUUUAUAUUCUUAUUUCAAGCACUGUCCGUAUUUUCGAUUAAUUAAUUAAACGAACGUGAUUGGUGACACGGAAGAGGAAUCAUUCUAUUCUAUAUCUGCAUAUUUUGUAGACGAUACGUCGGAUAAAAAUUGGAAUUGACGAUGCGUUCUCCUAUAUUCGUGAAUCAAUCUGACCGAGUUGUGAGUAAGAACAACGGAUGCGAUCAUUUCCAAGAAUACUACGACUCCUCUCUGGAAAUAAUCACGAGAUGAUUGAUGGAACUUGAAACUACAGAAAGAUGAAGAAUCAGGACGAUGUGUUACGAACAGUGAAAAUGGAAAGUAAAAGCGGAAAGGAAAUGCAGUUAUCAAAUUGACUGCUAUAAAUGAUUUAUUUAACGAAACGAGAAAACCGGUGACUUAUCAGAAGCUAUUUACGGAGGCCAUUGUCACUGGCGUUGCGCAAGGAACACGUUCCGCGGCGUACAAACGAGAAAUCGAUUUGUAUUUCGCCUUUCACGCUGACCUGUUUCGCCGGGCGAAGAAUUCGCUCGGUCUCUCUGUGGACCGUCGCGUUCUUCUCCCAAGAGGAAUAAGUACGAACGCGUUUCGCUCGAACGCUCAUCCGACCACGGAUCCUCUUCUCUCUGCGAAGGUCGAGGAUGAACGGCGCGCAUCCAUGCGUGCCAAAUUCGCCUAUACUAAUCGCGAUCCCAUGUGCAAGAAGUUGUUAACUUGAACGAGGAAAGGAAAAGAGAAGAGUAUAAAUUCCUAAUCAUGGCCUCUUGCAAUUACGAUAAAUUUGAUAUUUAAUGGUUGUUACUUUUACUUAUGCAGAAUAAAUGCACAUACAGAACAAUUA